rnacentral:tRNA from 1 species
GGUAGCAUGGCCGAGCGGUCUAAGGCGCUGGUUUUAGGCACCAGUCAUUUCGAUGGCCGUGGGUUCGAAUCCCACCGCUGCCA